rnacentral:rRNA from 1 species
GACGAACGCUGGCGGCGUGCCUAAUACAUGCAAGUCGAACGCUGAGGAGAGGAGCUUGCUCUUCUUGGGUGAGUUGCGAACAGGUGAGUAACGCGUAGGUAACCUGCCUUGUAGCGGGGGAUAACUAUUGGAAACGAUAGCUAAUACCGCAUAACAAUGUGUGACACAUGUCAGUUAUGUGAAAGUCGCAAUUGCUGCACUACAUGAUGGACUUGCGUCGUAUUAGGAAGGAGGUGAGGUAACGGAGCUCCUAGGCGACGAUACAUCGCCGCCCUGCGAGGGCGGUCGGCCGCACUGGGAGUGAGACCGGGCACAGACUGCCUCGGGAAGGAGCAAGAGGGAAACUGCGGGAAGCGGGGCAAAACUGAGCGCGCAAGGCGGAGGGAGUGAAGAAGGGUUUCGGGUCGUAAAGCUCUGUUGUAAGUCAAGAAAGAGUGUGAGAGUGGAAAGUUCACACUGUGACGGUAGCUUACCAGAAAGCGACGGCUAACUACGUG